GAUCCUUCCUAAACAUGAGA
rnacentral:misc_RNA from 1 species